rnacentral:rRNA from 1 species
GAUGAACGCUAGCUACAGGCUUAACGCAUGCAAGUCGAGGGGUAACAAGAGAAAAGCUUGCUUUUCUUGUUGACGACCGGCGCACGGGUGGGUAACGCGUAUCCAACCUGCCUAUAACUAGGGAAUAACCUUGCGAAAGUAAGACUAAUACCCUAUGAUUUCCUUUGAUGACAUCAGACUAGGAAUAAAGAUUUAUCGGUUAUAGAUGGGGAUGCGUCUGAUUAGCUUGUUGGCGGGGUAACGGCCCACCAAGGCAACGAUCAGUAGGGGUUCUGAGAGGAAGGUCCCCCACAUUGGAACUGAGACACGGUCCAAACUCCUACGGGAGGCAGCAGUGAGGAAUAUUGGUCAAUGGGCGGAAGCCUGAACCAGCCAAGUAGCGUGCAGGAUGACGGCUCUAUGGGUUGUAAACUGCUUUUAUACAGGAAUAAAGUUAGCCACGUGUGGUUAUUUGUAGGUACUGUAUGAAUAAGGACCGGCUAAUUCCGUGCCAGCAGCCGCGGUAA